AUUGAACGCUGGCGGCAUGCUUUACACAUGCAAGUCGAACGGUAACAGGCCUUCGGGUGCUGACGAGUGGCGAACGGGUGAGUAAUGCAUCGGAACGUGCCCAAUCGUGGGGGAUAACGUAGCGAAAGUUACGCUAAUACCGCAUAAGCCCUGAGGGGGAAAGCAGGGGAUCGCAAGACCUUGCGCGAAUGGAGCGGCCGAUGUCAGAUUAGCUAGUUGGUGGGGUAAAGCCUACCAAGGCGACGAUCUGUAGCGGGUCUGAGAGGAUGAUCCGCCACACUGGGACUGAGACACGGCCCAGACUCCUACGGGAGGCAGCAGUGGGGAAUUUUGGACAAUGGGCGCAAGCCUGAUCCAGCCAUGCCGCGUGC
rnacentral:rRNA from 1 species